rnacentral:rRNA from 1 species
UACGUAGGGCGCAAGCGUUGUCCGGAAUUAUUGGGCGUAAAGAGCUCGUAGGCGGCUUGUCACGUCGGGUGUGAAAGCCCGGGGCUUAACCCCGGGUCUGCAUUCGAUACGGGCUAGCUAGAGUGUUGUAGGGGAGAUCGGAAUUCCUGGUGUAGCGGUGAAAUGCGCAGAUAUCAGGAGGAACACCGGUGGCGAAGGCGGAUCUCUGGGCCAUUACUGACGCUGAGGAGCGAAAGCGUGGGGAGCGAACAGG